rnacentral:lncRNA from 1 species
AUGAAACUAAUCAAGGCAACGUACAAUAAAGUAUACCUGUCAGCUACCUUGCAUUUCUUCUCUAUUUAUAAACUGUGGGGUUGUAUCUGCAAGACUGACAACACUGCUCCGCAGCUCGUCUUCCUGCUGUGGCUGGGACCCGGGCCCCGGGGGCCUGGGGACUUACCCCCACUGGGUCCUGUGGCUGGAAGGUCCUGCUGGGGCUCAGCACCGACUCUCCCCGAGGAGCCUGGGGACCGCAUCCGUCUCUUCUCUGAUCACAGGCAAGUCUCUGCGAAUGAGCCACGAGGUGCUGGAGCACUGAUUCCAAAAGUGCAGCUUCCUCUCCCUGCAGGGCAGGUGCCCAGCCGCUCUCCCGAUGUGCAGACCCAGUGGGCACAGGCUCAGUUCUUGGUGGGUCCUCCAGGCAACCCUCCCAUCCAUCCACCCCCAGGGCUGCCAAAAUUCCUCUUGACCUGCGGAGGAAGAAGAAACACGGCAUUGUUUCCAUGUUGCAUGGGAAGUCGGGGGACACAAUCGUUGAGGACACCAUCCUGCCUCCCGGCCCAGAAGCAGGCUCAGCGAGAAGCCUCCAGCGUGUCACGAGCUCAGGGUGAAGCCUCCGGUGCUGCUCAUGAAGGCCUCGCAAGACCUGCAGGCAGCUCUCAGUUAAUCCGUGAGACGCAGAGUUAA